GCCUGGGUGGCUCAGUCGGUUAAGCAUCUGACUUCGGCUCAGGUCAAGAUCUCACAGUUUGUGGGUUUGAUCCCUGCAUCAGGCU
rfam:Felis catus isolate Cinnamon breed Abyssinian chromosome E1, whole genome shotgun sequence.